rnacentral:rRNA from 1 species
AGAGUUUGAUCCUGGCUCAGAGCGAACGCUGGCGGCGUGCCUAACACAUGCAAGUCGAACGUGAAAUGGGGCAACCCGAAGUAAAGUGGCGUACGGGUGAGUAACACGUGGGUAAUCUACCCAAAAGUCUGGAAUAACCUGCCGAAAGGCUGGCUAAUACUGGAUAGAGCGACGGGAUCCGUAAUCGGAUCUUUCGGGAAAGGGAGCUCGCAAGAGCCUUCGCUUUCUGAUGAGCCUGCGUCUCAUUAGCUAGUUGGUGGGGUAAUGGCUCACCAAGGUGGUGAUGAUUAGCUGGUCUGAGAGGAUGAUCAGCCAUACUGGAACUGAAACACGGUCCAGACUCCUACGGGAGGCAGCAGUGGGGAAUCUUGCGCAAUGGACGAAAGUCUGACGCAGCCACGCCGCGUGAGUGAAGAAGGCCUUCGGGUUGUAAAGCUCUGUCGAGCGGGACGAAUAUCCUGUGAGUUAAUAGCUCAUAGGACUGACGGUACCGCUAAAGGAAGCACCGGCUAACUCUGUGCCAGCAGCCGCGGUAAUACAGAGGGUGCAAGCGUUGCUCGGAAUCAUUGGGCGUAAAGGGCAGGUAGGUGGUCUCGUUUGUCUGGGGUGAAAGCCCAGGGCUUAACCCUGGAAGUGCCCCGGAAACGGCGAGACUAGAGUCUUGGAGAGGGUCGUGGAAUUCCCGGUGUAGCGGUGAAAUGCGUAGAGAUCGGGAGGAACACCAGAGGCGAAGGCGGCGACCUGGACAAGUACUGACACUCAACUGCGAAAGCGUGGGGAGCAAACAGGAUUAGAUACCCUGGUAGUCC